rnacentral:piRNA from 1 species
UAUAUAUUGUCUUUGAUCCCCCUUCCACUC